GAUAUGUUGGUUCAAGCCUGUAGUCGUGCCUGGUAGGUAAAUCCGCCGGGCUUAGAUGAGGGGUGAUAACGAGGCGGCUUGCCGCCGAAGUGAGUGAUACCCUGCUUCCAGGAAAAGCCACUAAGCUUCAGCUACACACGACCGUACCGCAAACCGACACUGGUGCGCGAGAUGAGUAUUCUAAGGCGCUUGAGAGAACUCAGGAGAAGGAACUCGGCAAAUUGACACCGUAACUUCGGAAGAAGGUGUGCCUUUAGUAGGUGAAGUCCCUGCGGAUGGAGCCCAAUGAGGUUGCAAAAAUCGGUGGCUGCGACUGUUUAAUAAAAACACAGCACUCUGCAAACACGAAAGUGGACGUAUAGGGUGUGACGCCUGCCCGGUGCUGGAAGAUUAAAUGAUGGGGUGCAAGCUCUUGAUUGAAGUCCCAGUAAACGGCGGCCGUAACGAUAACGGUCCUAAGGUAGCGAAAUUCCUUGUCGGGUAAGUUCCGACCUGCACGAAUGGCGUAACGAUGGCCACACUGUCUCCUCCUGAGACUCAGCGAAGUUGAAAUGUUUGUGAUGAUGCAAUCUCCCCGCGGAAAGACGGAAAGACCCCAUGAACCUUUACUGUAGCUUUGUAUUGGACUUUGAACGGAUCUGUGUAGGAUAGGUGGGAGGCUUUGAAGCAGGGUCGCUAGAUCUUGUGGAGCCAACGUUGAAAUACCACCCUGGUGCGUUUGAGGUUCUAACCUAGGUCCAUUAUCUGGAUCGGGGACAGUGCAUGGUAGGCAGUUUGACUGGGGCGGUCUCCUCCCAAAGCGUAACGGAGGAGUUCGAAGGUACGCUAGUUACGGUCGGACAUCGUGACGAUAGUGCAAUGGCAUAAGCGUGCUUAACUGCGAGACUGACAAGUCGAGCAGAUGCGAAAGCAGGACAUAGUGAUCCGGUGGUUCUGUAUGGAAGGGCCAUCGCUCAACGGAUAAAAGGUACUCUGGGGAUAACAGGCUGAUACCGCCCAAGAGUUCAUAUCGACGGCGGUGUUUGGCACCUCGAUGUCGGCUCAUCUCAUCCUGGGGCUGUAGCCGGUCCCAAGGGUAUGGCUGUUCGCCAUUUAAAGAGGUACGUGAGCUGGGUUUAAAACGUCGUGAGACAGUUUGGUCCCUAUCUUCCGUGGGCGCUGCAGAUUUGAGAAAGCCUGCUCCUAGUACGAGAGGACCGGAGUGGACGCACCUCUGGUGUAUCGGUUGUCACGCCAGUGGCAUUGCCGAGUAGCUAAGUGCGGAAGAGAUAACCGCUGAAAGCAUCUAAGCGGGAAACUCGUUUCAAGAUGAGAUCUGCCGGGGCCUUGAGCCCCCUAAAGAGUCGUUCAAGACCAGGACGUUGAUAGGUCAGGUGUGGAAGCGCAGUAAUGCGUUAAGCUAACUGAUACUAAUUGCUCGUGCGGCUUGACCA
rnacentral:rRNA from 1 species